CAGCAGCCGCGGUAAAACGAAGGGGGCUAGCGUUGCUCGGAAUCACUGGGCGUAAAGGGUGCGUAGGCGGGUCUUUAAGUCAGAGGUGAAAUCCUGGAGCUCAACUCCAGAACUGCCUUUGAUACUGAGGAUCUUGAGUUCGGGAGAGGUGAGUGGAACUGCGAGUGUAGAGGUGAAAUUCGUAGAUAUUCGCAAGAACACCAGUGGCGAAGGCGGCUCACUGGCCCGAUACUGACGCUGAGGCACGAAAGCGUGGGGAGCAAACAGGAUUAGAUACCCGGGUAGUCCCUGUCUCUUAUAC
rnacentral:rRNA from 1 species